AGCAGCCGCGGUAAUUCCAGCUCCAAUAGCGUAUAUUAAAGUUGCUGCAGUUAAAAAGCUCGUAGUUGAAUUUCGGGACUAAUAUGUCGGUCGUGCCUCGGUACGUACUGGCAUUAUCGAUUCCUACCUUCUGAAGAAUCUUGAUGUCAUUAAUUUGGUGUCUUGGGAAAUCAGGACUGUUACUUUGAAAAAAUUAGAGUGUUUAAAGUAGGCUCGCGCUUGAAUACAUUAGCAUGGAAUAAUGAAAUAGGACGUUUGAUUCUAUUUUGUUGGUUUCUAGGAUCGAUGUAAUGAUUAAUAGGGAUAGUUGGGGGCAUUAGUAUUCAAUUGUCAGAGGUGAAAUUCUUGGAUUUAUUGAAGACUAACUACUGCGAAAGCAUUUGCCAAGGAUGUUUUCAUUAAUCAAGAACGAAAGUUAGGGGAUCGAAGACGAUCAGAUACCGUCGUAGUCUUAACCAUAAACUAUGCCGACUAGGGAUCGGAUGAUGUUAAUUUUUAAUGA
rnacentral:rRNA from 1 species